UAGGUUCCUUUGAAAUUCAGGAUUCAUUCCACUGUGGAAAGUGAGUGUGUGGAACAAAGAAGUACUGUUCACCUCUCCUUAUCUUUCAGUGCCCGCGACAGGAGAUAAAAAGUGUCUGAUUGUGAAGGCAGUGAAAUCCACUCUGGGUGAUCAGAAUGCUACGGUGAGGAUGGCAGUUCUUCAUUUCAUCAGGAGGCUGCUCAGCUCAGAAAGUGUGGAGAAUUGUGCAGCAUGGGAUAUGGUAGCACAUGGUUUCAUGGAGUUCAGUUUGUCCACCAGCAAACUGACUAUUCAGGAAGAAAACACUAUCCAAAGCCUGUGCAUUGACAUCCUGCAAUGUCUGGACACCUCAGUCAGUGGAAUGACCCAAGUAAGUGACCUGUUGCUACUGCUUCUUGA